rnacentral:rRNA from 1 species
GUGAGGAAUUUUCCGCAAUGGGCGAAAGCCUGACGGAGCAAUGCCGCGUGAAGGAUGAAGGCCUAUGGGUUGUAAACUUCUUUUCUUAGAGAAGAAUAUUGACGGUAUCUGAGGAAUAGCAUCGGCUAACUCUGUGCCAGCAGCCGCGGUAAGACAGAGGAUGCAAGCGUUAUCCGGAAUGAUUGGGCGUAAAGCGUCUGUAGGUGGAUUCAAAAGUCUCCUGUCAAAGAUCAGGGCUUAACCCUGGGCCGGCAGGAGAAACUCUGGGGCUAGAGUUUGGUAGGGGCAGAGGGAAUUCCCGGAGGAGCGGUGAAAUGCGUAGAGAUCGGGAGGAACACCAAAGGCGAAAGCACUCUGCUGGGCCACAACUGACACUGAGAGACGAAAGCGAGGGGAGCAAAAGGGAUUAGAAACCCGAGUAGUCC